rnacentral:rRNA from 1 species
AUGGAGUCGGAUCAGGGCAAGCUCUUCAUCGGCGGCAUCUCCUGGGAGACGACGGAGGAGAAGCUGCAGGAGCACUUCUCCAACUUCGGCGAGGUCUCCCAGGCCGCCGUCAUGCGCGACAAGCUCACUGGCCGCCCGCGGGGCUUCGGCUUCGUAGUCUACGCCGACCCCGCCGCCGUCGACGCCGCCCUCCAGGAGCCCCACACCCUCGACGGCCGCACGGUCGAUGUGAAGCGGGCGCUCUCGCGGGAGGAGCAGCAGGCUACCAAGGCGGUGAACCCUAGCGCAGGAAGGAACGCUGGAGGUGGUGGCGGCGGCGGCGGCGGCGGCGGCGAUGCCGGUGGUGCUAGGACAAAGAAGAUUUUUGUGGGCGGACUGCCCUCCAGUCUGACAGAUGAGGAGUUCCGGCAGUACUUCCAGACCUUCGGGGCUGUCACCGAUGUUGUGGUGAUGUAUGACCAGACAACACAGCGUCCCCGGGGCUUCGGCUUCAUUACCUUUGACUCGGAGGAUGCGGUUGACCGUGUGCUGCACAAAACCUUCCACGAUCUUGGAGGGAAGAUGGUAGAGGUGAAGCGUGCUCUGCCCCGAGAGGCGAAUCCUGGCUCUGGCGGCGGCGGCCGUUCCAUGGGAGGUGGGGGUUUUCAUAGUAACAAUGGACCCAACUCCAAUGCUAGCAGCUAUGAUGGCAGAGGCGAUGCUAGCAGAUAUGGGCAGGCGCAGCAAGGCAGUGGUGGCUACCCAGGUUAUGGUGCUGGAGCUUAUGGCAGUGCUCCAACUGGGUAUGGAUAUGGGCACACCAAUCCUGGAACUACAUAUGGAAAUUAUGGGUCUGCAGGGUAUGGAGCUGUUCCUGCUGCGUAUGCUGGGGCUUAUGGCAAUCCAAGUGCUGCUGCUUCCGGUUACCAGGGUGGCCCUCCAGGCGCUAAUAGAGGACCCUGGGGCAGUCAAGCUCCGUCUGGUUAUGGCACUGGGGGUUAUGCUGGCAAUGCAGGCUAUGGUGCAUGGAAUAGCUCUUCUGCUGGUGGGAAUGCACCCACUAGUCAGGCACCUGGUGCAGCUGCAGGUUAUGGAAACCAGGGCUAUGGUUAUGGUGGAUAUGGAGGAGAUGCAUCAUAUGGUAAUCAUGGAGGGUAUGGUGCUUAUGGUGGCCGGGGAGAUGGUGCUGGAAAUCCUGCUACUGGUGCAGCCUCUGGGUAUGGUGCUGCUGGAUAUGGAAGUGGGAAUGGAAACUCUGGAUAUCCAAAUGCGUGGACUGAUCCUUCACAAGGCGGGGGAUUUGGUGGUGCAGUCAAUGGAGCUUCUGAGGGCCAAUCAAAUUAUGGCAGUGGUUAUGGUGGUAUGCAGCCUAGGGUUGCUCAGUAG